rnacentral:lncRNA from 1 species
GCCUGGCCCAGCUGCCGCCACCGUGCACACUUCCCCAGAGGCGUUUGAUUAACUCAGUUUAUUUGUAAACAGAAGCGGUUGACAUUUAAUAAUGGAGAGGCCAAUGUAAGUGGCAACCCUUCCGAAUCUUGCAGGCUUACAAAAUUAAAAGCUGGUGCCUGACAAUGAGGGGGAGGGUCCAUUAUUCGGGGACACUGCCUCCAUGGCAACAGCCACAAGAAGCUGUCAUGCGCUUGGCCAGCGGCUGUCUGCACCAUAGCAAGGGGCGCAGGUGCAGCCAGUUGGCUGCCGUGGUGGGCAGUGGCGGGCAAGUGGCGCACCUGUGGUCAUGCCCCCGACUUGCAGUUUCUCAGCCAGGGUUGGUGCCUGCGGCCCAGGCAGCCCCAGCCUUGCUUGUCAGUGUCACUGCUUGCCCGUGGCCGUGGUGACCUUCCCUGCCCCAGCAAGCGCGGUCACCGCAUACUUUCCUCCAAGCGGUGGUCUGAGCCUCAGGAGUCUGGCCCGCCUUCUGCAGGCAGGAGGGGCGGAACCGAGGUGCAAGGAGAGGCUGUGGAGUCUGUUAUCCACCCCGAGCCAGGCUGGGUGACCCGAGGGACGCCGUCCCUACACGGAGACCUCCUUCCCGGCUGUCCAGUUGCGCAGCCCUGAACACAGCCGGCACAGGAGGGGCAGCCCCUCACUCUGAAUGCUGUCCGUGUGACUCUGUUUGACCUCACAGGGCCCUGUGAUGUCACAGCUGACAGCGGGCCUGCCUGGCUCAGGUUCCAAGGAGCAGUGGACGGGAGCAGGUGGCCAGUUCCUAGGACGAAGAAGUAGUUUCUGCUUGGAGGACACUGAGCGGGGCGGGGUGGCUAAGGGGACAGGUGGGGCACUGUGCCAUCUUGACUUACAGGAGGGCCUGGGCGUGGCCCUCUGCUGCCCAACCUGCUGGGUGUCCUGCCUCUGACUGCCGUGUCCCCUGCCGACUGCGACCAUGAGAUACGAGCCAGAACCCAAGAAGUCCCCACCCCACCUGCUGCAGAAGUUCGCAGUGUGUGACAUCCCCCUGUACAACAUCUGUGACUACAACGUCUCCCGGGACCGCUGCAAGGAGCUGGGGUGCUGCUUCUACAAGAGCGUCUGCUAUGAGAAGGCUAUGCCGAUCUACGUGCACCUGUCCUCCAUCUUGCUCGUGGUCAUCAUCGUUGCCUUGGUCAUCGCUCUCGUUAACAAGAUAGUCCAAGAGAGGAGGAAGCAGAAGGAGGCUGUUGAGGAGACGCUGCCCCCUGAGUCCAGCAGUGAGCCCGUCGAAGAAUCCCUGGCACCAACCGGUGGCUCUGUCUCCAAGAAGAGCGACGAGGGCGCGGAGGAAGGUAGGCCCCGGGCUGUCAUGGGCUGGGCAGCCUAUUCUGGCCUCUGGAUCUUCCAGGAAGACGCUGGGCAGCCGGCUGGCUCUGUCGCCCUCUCCAGCUGCGGUUCAGUUUGGGCGGAAUUCUAUCCACAGGACUUCGGAGGGGUUUGUCAGGGCGGCUGCCUUGGGCGCGGUUCUUUGUCGCUUGCUCAUGUGCUGGGGUCAGUGCCGUGGGGACCGCGGGCAGCAUGUGGCACGGGUGACUGUCCGGCAGCGCUGCAGGUGGCUGCUGGGCAUGGCGGCUGAAGGAGGGACGACGGCUCCCGGCCCUUGCCGGUGGCUUCUGGCUCUUCUGUCCAGCGUGUGUGCGGCAGGCACCCGUGUCGCUGCCAUCAGCCCCGUGGAUUCAGUCGCACUCAAGCCCUUGAGGGUGUGGGUGUGGACAGUGGUGAGGCCCCACCAUCCCACCCAGUGCCACACCCGUAUGGUGAUGGCUGGUGCCCUGGACACACGCCCACUUCGUCCCUUUGCGGCCAGGAGAGAAGGGACGCGGACAGAGGCUUUCGCCAGCCGCCACCCGGCUCUGAGUGUAGACGUGUGGCCGCGUGCAGAUGUGUUCCGCCUCCCAGACCGCUCUGCGUUCCAGCUGCGACACACAAAUUUUUGUUUCUAAUGUAGGGGAGGAGGAAGUGCAGGAGGAGGAGGAGGACUGAUGUGUGCAGGAGGACGUGGAGUGCCCAGAACUGGCCCCGCACUGCGCAGCAAUGGCCCCUAGUGGGGCUGUGCGGAGGGGCCACCCAGUGAGGCAAAUAAAGGUAUUUUGAAAGUUGCUUCCGGCCUCAGUCCUGAGUUGCUUUAGUGAGUCAUUUUAGGAGUGGGUAAGCCAU